rnacentral:rRNA from 1 species
UACAGAGGGGGCAAGCGUUGUUCGGAAUUACUGGGCGUAAAGGGCGCGUAGGCGGCCCGCUAAGUCGAACGUGAAAUCCCCGAGCUCAACUCGGGAACUGCGUCCGAUACUGGCGGGCUUGAAUCCGGGAGAGGGAUGCGGAAUUCCAGGUGUAGCGGUGAAAUGCGUAGAUAUCUGGAGGAAUACCGGUGGCGAAGGCGGCAUCCUGGACCGACAUUGACGCUGAACGGCGAAAGCUAGGGGAGCAAACGGG